rnacentral:rRNA from 1 species
GAGUAAGACCAAGCAGCGGACGGGUGAGUAACGCGUGGGUAACCUGCCCUAUACACAUGGAUAACAUACUGAAAAGUUUACUAAUACAUGAUAAUAUAUAUUUACGGCAUCGUAGAUAUAUCAAAGUGUUAGCGGUAUAGGAUGGACCCGCGUCUGAUUAGCUAGUUGGUGAGAUAACUGCCCACCAAGGCGACGAUCAGUAGCCGACCUGAGAGGGUGAUCGGCCACAUUGGAACUGAGACACGGUCCAAACUCCUACGGGAGGCAGCAGUGGGGAAUAUUGCACAAUGGGCGCAAGCCUGAUGCAGCAACGCCGCGUGAACGAUGAAGGUCUUCGGAUCGUAAAGUUCUGUUGCAGGGGAAGAUAAUGACGGUACCCUGUGAGGAAGCCCCGGCUAACUACGUGCCAGCAGCCGCGGUAAUACGUAGGGGGCUAGCGUUAUCCGGAUUUACUGGGCGUAAAGGGUGCGUAGGUGGUCUUUCAAGUCGGUGGUUAAAGGCUACGGCUCAACCGUAGUUAGCCUCCGAAACUGGAAGACUUGAGUGCAGGAGAGGAAAGUGGAAUUCCCAGUGUAGCGGUGAAAUGCGUAGAUAUUGGGAGGAACACCAGUAGCGAAGGCGGCUUUCUGGACUGCAACUGACACUGAGGCACGAAAGCGUGGGUAGCAAACAGGAUUAGAUACCCUGGUAGUCCACGCUGUAAACGAUGAGUACUAGGUGUCGGGGGUUACCCCCCUCGGUGCCGCAGCUAACGCAUUAAGUACUCCGCCUGGGGAGUACGCACGCAAGUGUGAAACUCAAAGGAAUUGACGGGGACCCGCACAAGUAGCGGAGCAUGUGGUUUAAUUCGAAGCAACGCGAAGAACCUUACCUAAGCUUGACAUCCCUUAGACCGGUGUUUAAUCACACCUUCCCUUCGGGGCUGAGGUGACAGGUGGUGCAUGGUUGUCGUCAGCUCGUGUCGUGAGAUGUUGGGUUAAGUCCCGCAACGAGCGCAACCCUUGUCUUUAGUUGCCAGCAUUCAGUUGGGCACUCUAGAGAGACUGCCAGGGAUAACCUGGAGGAAGGUGGGGAUGACGUCAAAUCAUCAUGCCCCUUAUGCUUAGGGCUACACACGUGCUACAAUGGGUGGUACAGAGGGUUGCCAAACCGUGAGGUGGAGCUAAUCCCUUAAAGCCAUUCUCAGUUCGGAUUGUAGGCUGAAACUCGCCUACAUGAAGCUGGAGUUACUAGUAAUCGCAGAUCAGAAUGCUGCGGUGAAUGCGUUCCCGGGUCU